AUGAACGCUAGCGAUAGGCUUCACACAUGCAAGUCGAGGGGCAGCAUGGUCUUAGCUUGCUAAGGCUGAUGGCGACCGGCGCACGGGUGCGUAACGCGUAUGCAACUUGCCUCACAGAGGGGGAUAACCCGUCGAAAGACGGACUAAUACCGCGUACACUCUAUGUUGGGCAUCCAAUGUAGAGGAAAUGAAAUUCGCUGUGAGAUAGGCAUGCGUCCCAUUAGCUAGUUGGUGAGGUAACGGCUCACCAAGGCGACGAUGGGUAGGGGAACUGAGAGGUUGAACCCCCACACUGGUACUGAGACACGGACCAGACUCCUACGGGAGGCAGCAGUGAGGAAUAUUGGUCAAUGGGCGAGAGCCUGAACCAGCCAAGUCGCGUGAAGGAUGACUGUCUUAUGGAUUGUAAACUUCUUUUAUACGGGAAUAACAAGAGUCACGUGUGGCUCCCUGCAUGUACCGUAUGAAUAAGCAUCGGCUAACUCCGUG
rnacentral:rRNA from 1 species